rnacentral:tRNA from 1 species
GGGCUUGUGGUUUAGUGGUAUAAUGCUCCCUUAGCAUGGGAGCGGUCCUGGGUUCGAUUCCCAGCAAGUCCA